GAUGGGCAUGCGGCGCAUUAGCUAGACGGCGGGGUAACGGCCCACCGUGGCGACGAUGCGUAGGGGUUCUGAGAGGAAGGUCCCCCACACUGGUACUGAGACACGGACCAGACUCCUACGGGAGGCAGCAGUGAGGAAUAUUGGUCAAUGGGAGAGAUCCUGAACCAGCCAAGCCGCGUGAGGGAAGACGGCCCUAUGGGUUGUAAACCUCUUUUGUCGGAGAACAAAACCCGGGACGAGUCCCGGACUGCGUGUAUCCGAAGAAAAAGCAUCGGCUAACUCCGUGCCAGCAGCCGCGGUAAUACGGAGGAUGCGAGCGUUAUCCGGAUUUAUUGGGUUUAAAGGGUGCGUAGGCGGUCCGUUAAGUCAGCGGUAAAAUUGCGGGGCUCAACCCCGUCGAGCCGUUGAAACUGUCAGACUUGAGUUGGCGAGAAGUACGCGGAAUGCGCGGUGUAGCGGUGAAAUGCAUAGAUAUCGCGCAGAACUCCGAUUGCGAAGGCAGCGUACCGGCGCCAGACUGACGCUGAGGCACGAAAGCGUGGGGAUCGAACAGGAUUAGAUACCCUGGUAGUCCACGCAGUAAACGAUGAAUGCUGGUUGUCCGGGUCGAAUGAGACCUGG
rnacentral:rRNA from 1 species